GCAGGAAUGGCGGAAUGGCAGACGCGCAUGGUUCAGGUCCAUGUGAUAGCAAUAUCAUGAGGGUUCAAGUCCCUUUUCCUGCA
rnacentral:tRNA from 3 species